UGAAGAUUUGACUCAUUUAGGAAUGCGC
rnacentral:sRNA from 1 species